UAAUACAGAGGUGGCAAGCGUUGUUCGGAAUUACUGGGCGUAAAGGGCGCGUAGGCGGCCAUCUAAGUCAGACGUGAAAUCCCCCGGCUUAACCUGGGAACUGCGUCUGAUACUGGACGGCUCGAGUUUGGGAGAGGGAUGUGGAAUUCCAGGUGUAGCGGUGAAAUGCGUAGAUAUCUGGAGGAACACCGGUGGCGAAGGCGGCAUCCUGGACCAACACUGACGCUGAGGCGCGAAAGCUAGGGGAGCAAACGGGAUUAGAUACCCCGGUAGUCCUAGCCCUAAACGAUGAAUGCUUGGUGUGGCGGGUAUCGAUCCCUGCCGUGCCGAAGCUAACGCAUUAAGCAUUCCGCCUGGGGAGUACGGUCGCAAGGCUG
rnacentral:rRNA from 1 species